rnacentral:lncRNA from 1 species
UGCUACAGUCUGUAUAGGACUAUAAGCGUGACAAAAUCGUGGAACAGUUCCUUUUAUGAUGACUGAAUGGAUGGAUUUAAAGAAUAUGGUUCUGAAUAUAAACAGCAACACCUCCACCACUGGCAUUUCUGUAUUUUCGAGUCAUGGCUGAACGACGACAAUAUCAACAUUCAGCUGGCUGGUUAUACGAUGUACCGGCAGGAUAGAACAGUGGCGUCUGGAUGUGGCGAGUCAUCCCGGGGUCAUUGUAUGGCUUCCAAGUCUAAGAUAAAUGGGGAUUUAUUAUUGUUAUGUUUGGCUAUAUGCAUCUGAGUUGAGGCCUGAGGGGUAGGAGAAAGACUGAAGUUGUUUCUCGGGUUUGGUUUUAUGGGUACCUGAAUGAAAUACAGUGAGAAAUGGGUCGUGUUCAUUACAGCACAACUAUAGCAAAAUGUUUCAAAAUGUCCCUCCCUGUAUCAGUAUGUUUUCUUCCGUUUGGUGCUUAAUGAAUACAACCCUGGUGAUACUGCUCGGGUGCCACUAUAAACCACCAUGUCCUUUUGAACUUUGCCAUACAACAUUUCCUGAAGGGGAGUGAAGAAUCCCAGCUCACAUAUUGGCUGUAUAAUAACUGACUUGUUAGACUCUAGCUCCGCUUCAGUGCAUUGGCCCCAAUGUUGUCAUUACACACUCUUUAUGCUGGUAAUGUACAGUAGUUGCCCAUAACCACAGAUUCUCC